UACGUAGGGUGCAAGCGUUAAUUGGAAUUACUGGGCGUAAAGCGUGCGCAGGCGGCUUUGCAAGACAGAUGUGAAAUCCCCGGGCUUAACCUGGGAACUGCAUUUGUGACUGCAUGGCUGGAGUGCGGCAGAGGGGGAUGGAAUUCCGCGUGUAGCAGUGAAAUGCGUAGAUAUGCGGAGGAACACCGAUGGCGAAGGCAAUCCCCUGGGCCUGCACUGACGCUCAUGCACGAUAGCGUGGGGAGCAAACAGG
rnacentral:rRNA from 1 species